AUUGAACGCUGGCGGCAUGCUUUACACAUGCAAGUCGAACGGCAGCACAGCAGGGGUAACCCUGUGGGUGGCGAGUGGCGAACGGGUGAGUAAUACAUCGGAACGUACCCUGUUGUGGGGGAUAACUACGCGAAAGCGUAGCUAAUACCGCAUACGCCCUGAGGGGGAAAGCGGGGGACCCUAAAUAGAGCGCACUGGGAAGUGUGCUGUAUUUAGGGCCUCCCGCCACAGGAGCGGCCGAUGUCAGAUUAGCUAGUUGGUGAGGUAAAGGCUUACCAAGGCGACGAUCCGUAGCUGGUCUGAGAGGAUGAUCAGCCACACUGGGACUGAGACACGGCCCAGACUCCUACGGGAGGCAGCAGUGGGGAAUUUUGGACAAUGGGGGCAACCCUGAUCCAGCCAUGCCGCGUGAGUGAAGAAGGCCUUCGGGUUGUAAAGCUCUUUCGGACGGAAAGAAAUCGCGCAGGUGAAUAAUCUGCGUGGAUGACGGUACCGUAAGAAGAAGCACCGGCUAACUACGUGCCAGCCGCCGCGUAACAC
rnacentral:rRNA from 1 species